rnacentral:tRNA from 1 species
GCUCACGUAGCCCAAUUAGCAGAGGCGCCGGUCUUAGAAACCGGAGGUUGAGGGUGCAAAUCCCUCCGUGAGUA